UGAGAUGCAGAAACAGUUCAAUUCAUGA
rnacentral:misc_RNA from 1 species